UACGUAGGCAGCAAGCGUUGUUCGGAAUUACUGGGCGUAAAGAGUGUGUAGGCGGUGCUCUAAGUUUGGUGUGAAAUCUCCCGGCUCAACUGGGAGGGUGCGCCGAAAACUGGAAUGCUUGAGCAUGGGAGAGGAAAGCGGAAUUCCUGGUGUAGCGGUGAAAUGCGUAGAUAUCAGGAGGAACACCUGCGGUGUAGACGGCUUUCUGGACCAUUGUUGACGCUGAGACACGAAAGCGUGGGUAGCAAACAGG
rnacentral:rRNA from 1 species